CCUACGGGAGACAGCAGUAGGGAAUAUUGCUCAAUGGGGGAAACCCUGAAGCAGCAACGCCGCGUGGAGGAUGAAGGUUCUCGGAUUGUAAACUCCUUUUGUUAGAGAAGAUAAUUACGGUAUCUAACGAAUAAGCACCGGCUAACUCCGUGCCAGCAGCCGCGGUAAUACGGAGGGUGCAAGCGUUACUCGGAAUCACUGGGCGUAAAGGGCGCGUAGGCGGGAUAGCAAGUCAGAUGUGAAAUCCUAUGGCUUAACCAUAGAACUGCAUUUGAAACUGUUAUUCUAGAGUAUGGGAGAGGGAGGGGGAAAUCUGGGUGGUGGGGGAGAAUCCGUAGAGAUCAAGAGGGAUACUCAUUGCGAAGGCGACCUGCUAGAACAUAACUGACGCUGAUGCGCGAAAGCGUGGGGAGCAAACAGGAUUAGAUACCCCAGUAGUC
rnacentral:rRNA from 1 species